AGAGUUUGAUCCUGGCUCAGGAUGAACGCUAGCUACAGGCUUAACACAUGCAAGUCGAGGGGAAACGACAUCGAAAGCUUGCUUUUGAUGGGCGUCGACCGGCGCACGGGUGAGUAACGCGUAUCCAACCUGCCCACCACUUGGGGAUAACCUUGCGAAAGUAAGACUAAUACCCAAUGACGUCUCUAGAAGACAUCUGAAAGAGAUUAAAGAUUUAUCGGUGAUGGAUGGGGAUGCGUCUGAUUAGCUUGUUGGCGGGGUAACGGCCCACCAAGGCGACGAUCAGUAGGGGUUCUGAGAGGAAGGUCCCCCACAUUGGAACUGAGACACGACUACCAACUCCGACGGGAGGCA
rnacentral:rRNA from 1 species